rnacentral:rRNA from 1 species
AGAGUUUGAUCCUGGCUCAGAAUCAACGCUGGCGGCGUGCCUAACACAUGCAAGUCGAACGAGAAAGUGGAGCAAUCCAUGAGUAAAAGUGGCGCACGGGUGAGUAACACGUGACUAACCUACCCUGGAGUGGGGGAUAACUGAGGGAAACCUUAGCUAAUACCGCAUAAUACCUACGGGUCAAAGGAGCAAUUCGCUUCAGGAGGGGGUCGCGGCCGAUUAGUUAGUUGGCGGGGUAAUGGCCCACCAAGACAGUGAUCGGUAUCCGGCCUGAGAGGGCGCACGGACACACUGGAACUGAAACACGGUCCAGACUCCUACGGGAGGCAGCAGUGGGGAAUUUUGCGCAAUGGGGGAAACCCUGACGCAGCAACGCCGCGUGGAGGAUGAAGUCCUUCGGGACGUAAACUCCUUUCGAUCGGGACGAUUAUGACGGUACCGGAAGAAGAAGCCCCGGCUAACUUCGUGCCAGCAGCCGCGGUAAUACGAGGGGGGCGAGCGUUGUUCGGAAUUAUUGGGCGUAAAGGGUGCGUAGGCGGUUUUGUAAGUCUUAUGUGAAAUCUAUGGGCUCAACUCAUAGACUGCAUGAGAAACUGCAGGGCUUGAGUAUGGGAGAGGUGAGUGGAAUUCCUGGUGUAGCGGUGAAAUGCGUAGAUAUCAGGAGGAACACCUGUGGCGAAAGCGGCUCACUGGACCAUAACUGACGCUGAUGCACGAAAGCUAGGGGAGCAAACAGGAUUAGAUACCCUAGUAGUCC